rnacentral:rRNA from 1 species
UGUGUAGGCGGUUCUUUAAGUUUGGUGUGAAAUCUCCCGGCUCAACUGGGAGGGUGCGCCGAAUACUGAGGGACUAGAGUACGGGAGAGGAAAGUGGAAUUCCUGGUGUAGCGGUGAAAUGCGUAGAUAUCAGGAGGAACACCGGUGGUGUAGACGGCUUUCUGGACCGUAACUGACGCUGAGACACGAAAGCGUGGGUAGCAAACAG